CUUGCUUAUUAUAAAGGCAUACAAAAAGUGUAUAACAUCCCACUGAUAGUUCAUGUAAAUCAUAAAUAAUUUAUACAGUCACUUGGCAAAAAAUGAUAUGAUUUCCCUAAAUGACUUCCUAGUAAAACAAAAUCAAUUUUUCAUCUUGUAUCAAGUCUUCAAAACUUGCAGCUUGACUUUGUAACUUCUAAUCUUCAAGUCCUGCAAAAAGUAUAAGAAGGGUGCCUUUAAGAAAGUAUCAAAUACUAAUAAAUAUCAAAUAGCAUCUGAGGAAAACAAAAAUAAUUGCACACAUAAAGUUUGAAGAUGAUAACACACAUAAAGUUUGAAGAUGAUAACAUUACUGGAGAGAACCUAAAUAUUGUACAUGUUGUCUCUCUCUUUCAAUAACAUAUAAUUCUCCUGUAUAGUUUGUUCCAUCACAUUUUUCAAAUGCAGACUCAUAUUAAAUAAGCAAUUUUUUUAAAUACAGAUUCAUUAUGUUUGUCCUAAAUGUCCUAAUAAAACAUAACCAAUUUCUCUUUAUAGAGUUUCAACAACUACGCCUUCCAUUUGCACUAAUGGAAAAAAGAUAAGAUCCAAAUGAAAACAUAUAAUAACUUAGAAUGAAAAGAACAAGUUAGCAUAGAUCUUCACUUAAACAAAAACCCCUUACAAGCCAUAUUUCUAUCUGAAAAACUUCAAAAUUCUAGGCCAUAUUUAUAUCUAAAUUAGCAAACUUGCAUCCAAGACAUACAAAGUUAACUUUGUAAAUAAAUUUAACAAUGCUCUUAAUACUCAUAUUCCAACAAUCCUCUUGAGGUGCAGUUGUAUUGAUACAAUUGAUUAAUUUUUACACAAAAUUACCUCAUAAGAAAGAGUAUGCACAGCAGUAUAAAUGUUCAUUGGCUAAACUAAUUUUUAACUUCAUUGCAGCAAAAUGAAUGUCUAUCUUAGAUUGUAAGUUUUUCUUUUAAACUAUAAGCACAAUCACCCUCACAUUUGAUCAAUGAAGACAACUAAACAACACCACAUGUCCAAGUAUAAUCAAGUGUGAACAUCCACAGGUUGAUUACAUAAAAAAUCCUAUUUGAAAGAGAAAAAUAACCAAUGAAUGUAGAGGUGUUUGUCCAAUAUCAAUGAAAUGAACAAAUAUUUUAGAGUUCUCAGAAAUAAUAGCCACUCUUACUUCAAGAACAUCACUGUUUAAUUUCCCAUAGGAUUCUUCAGAAACCUUUGGCCAAAAUUUAGUCCAUCUGGUCCGCGGGUGUUUGUACAUACACUCUACAUGUGCUUCACUAAUUUCUCCCUCUCUAAAAGGAAAGAACAUAAAAGGUAUAAACACUUAAAAAAGAAUCAAUAAGACUACGAGAUCUUGAUGUUUGUGAUUCAAUGAAAGCUGUAAAUUUCAACUAACUAAUCUUAUUAGUUAACCUAGAAUAUAGGAACAAACACAAAUCAUGUACUAUUAUAAGGGUUAUUAAACCUUAAGAAGAUGUAAUAAAGUUUAGCAAUCAUAUUAGUAGGGCUUCAACUGGCUUAAGAAUUUAAAAUGAAGUUUUAUCAUUGAAGAAGAUAAGACGCAAUAGAAUAUGAAAAGUGAUUAUGGGCAUCGUUUUCUCUUGAUAAACAAUAACUUUUCAUUCAUAUUAUGUCAAUAUUACAAGAAUCUCAAUAGGAAAAAAACUUUAGUAACGAUUAGUACACCUUAAUCAUCCAGCAUAGAAAUUAGUCAGCCAGAAGAUAUAGCAAAUACAACU
rnacentral:lncRNA from 1 species